rnacentral:rRNA from 1 species
AGAGUUUGUAUCCUCGGCGUCAGAGCGAACGCUGGCGGCAGGCGUUAACACAUGCAAGUCGAGCGGGCGACUUCGGUGUCAGCGGCGAGACGGGUGAGUAACGCGUGGGAACGUGCCCUUCGGUUCGGAAUAACUCAGGGAAACUUGAGCUAAUACCGGAUACGUGCGAGAGCAGAAAGGUUUAUCUGCCGAAGGAUCGGCCCGCGUCUGAUUAGCUAGUUGGUGAGGUUAUGGGCUCACCAAGGCGACGAUCAGUAGCUGGUCUGAGAGGAUGAUCAGCCACACUGGGACUGAGACACGGCCCAGACUCCUACGGGAGGCAGCAGUGGGGAAUAUUGGACAAUGGGGGGCAACCCUGAUCCAGCCAUGCCGCGUGAGUGAUGACGGCCUUAGGGUUGUAAAGCUCUUUUCUCCGGGACGAUAAUGACGGUACCGGAGGAAUAAGCCCCGGCUAACUUCGUG